UGCCAUUUACAAACCAUAAGUGCUAAUGACUCCAUUCCUUUUUGUGGUUGUAGGGGCUGUUGAUUAGAGUACAUUAAAACAAACCUGAUCUCUCUAGGACAUUCAUAAGCCAAGUUAUAAGCCCACAAAUGUGUAACUGGACUACUUCUUUAAAGGAGACAUAACAUGAAAAACCCACUUUUUUAUCCAUUAACACGGUGUGUUUCACAUUUUAAGUGCCUAAGUGAGCAAAAAGGCUUAUAUUAUUCACUGGAGUUGCUAUUUAGAUAUUUAAUAAUUAAGUUUUGGGCAUAUUUGUCCACCCGUUCAGUUUUUACAUUAUCUAUUACAUCAGUAAUUAAUUUAGUGAGGAUAACUACCAAAUAUGGUAAUGGCCCUCGGCUAAACACAGAGCCAAUCCGCCAUUUUUUCUUCUCGCUAAGAUUUUUUGUAGUCCUAUUGGAAAAAUGCAGAAUGUCUGGUUAUUUUAGCCACACACAGCUCAAAACUGUUCCUCGUUUUAAGGAAGGGUGGUGUGGCAGUAUUUAAACCCAGGAGCUGAUGACACUACUGCUAAAAAAAACACAGAAGAAAAAGUAGUGUGUUUGCGUUUGUUUGUUUGUGUGUGUGUGUGCGCGCGUGCGCGCGCGCGCGCGUGGUUCGUUCGUUCUGUCUCCAGGCUAGUGGCUAAGUACUGAGGGCUUCAUCUAUCUAAAAGGAGUUAUUUCCAUCUGAAUUUGGCAGCACCGGGACACAGCAGCAGAGCGGUAAGCUUCAUAUCACUCUAAAAUGUCGACAAACUUUACUUUAAAUUUACGGGCAUUAGCAGCACUAAAGCGUUAGCAUCCGGCUUGCUAUCGCUAGCACAGUAUGCUAGUAAAGUUAGCACCCAGAUUAAUGUGGAUUUGGCUGAUUUUCGUGGAAUAAAACGUGAUUUCUGAUCAACGCCUUCUUUUACACCAGAUGAUAACCUCCCACUGAUUGUAACAGCAGAGAGCCUGUGUGUUAUUCUACAUGAGUGUGAUGUAAUCUUAGCAUCCAGUAAAUAAAGUCCCAUAUCAGCUAAAAUGCAGAGUGACAAAGUCAUUAAAGUGCGUCAACACAGUGGAUUUAAUAGAGUUUUAAAGAACGAUCUCUAAGUGAAGUGAGGUUAGUUUUUUGUCUCACUGCAGAUAUAAAAACUAACUCUGCAUCAGUCAGACGCAGCAAAGCUCACCGUCUGUAUGAGCGUGAGCGUCGGAAAGCUGAUAAAAUUGGCUGUAAAAUAAUUAAAACAAAGUAAAAAUGUUCCUUUGCUUUUUAGAGUCAACAUCCAGAAGACUGGAGCCGUGUUUCACUGACAGGCUGUCAGACUAACGCCCUGAUGAGCUCAGCUGGGACAAACUGGUCUGAUGUUUAGGAACACAGAACGUUCAGAUGUUGGCGUUUCACGUCAACUACUGAGGAAGGAGACCCACCAGUAAAGAGACGGUCUGGACCAGACCAAAAAUAUGGCGAUGACAUCAUGGAACUGGUCUUUGGAAAAGUUUUCCCUGAACCAACUCCGUUUCUAGAUGAGGUAGAGAAGAUCUGCAUCUCACCAACUCUCUGGUCUCAGUAUUCAGACAACGGAGGUCUCCCACUGUUGUCCAGGACCAGUUUGAAGCCCACAUACUGCCCCUCCCUCAUCAUCAGGAAACAUCAAUCCGUAUCCUGAGGACAACAGAAGACGGCAGGAGGACAGGAACUCUGAGACCUAGACACCACCAGCACCGAGACACAAAGCACCUGUGUGCACAACGCCUGUUUUAACUACUAAAGCCUGUUUAUUAUAUUGUUCUACUUAUUUGCUGUGAGGUUAAUACUUAGAAAAUUUGUAUAUUAAUGUAAACAAUAAAAAAAAUCACUGAUUGUA